rnacentral:rRNA from 1 species
GACGUAGGGCGCGAGCGUUGUCCGGAUUUAUUGGGCGUAAAGAGCUCGUAGGCGGCUUGUCGCGUCGACUGUGAAAACUUGGGGCUUAACUCUGAGCGUGCGGUCGAUACGGGCAUCACUUGAGUUCGGCAGGGGAGACUGGAAUUCCUGGUGUAGCGGUGAAAUGCGCAGAUAUCAGGAGGAACACCGGUGGCGAAGGCGGGUCUCUGGGCCGAUACUGACGCUGAGGAGCGAAAGCAUGGGGAGCGAACAGG